AGCCUAAACCAACGAGCAAUUGCUGGCACGGCUAAAAGUCCAGUUAGACAUAAAAAACCCAUCAUGGGGUCGUCUAACUGGCCAUAUCGGGAAACCGGUAUGAGUGGCUUCGGCCACU
rnacentral:sRNA from 1 species